UCAUUGAAAUGGGGCUUCUAAGAGGAUGGUAGUAUAAACAGUGUAGAGAUGCUGGACAAAGGGAGGAUUCAUGUCCUGGGUGGCAUGGAGUGGGACUGAGAGAUUUCAUUGUGAUCCUUAGAAUGGUGCACUGUUUAAAACAGGGUUCUCCAACCCUGUUAGGAACCAGGCUGCACAGCAGGAGGUGAGCAGAGGGUGAGUGAACGAAUCUUCAUCUGUAUUUACAGCUGCUCCCCAUCAUGCACAUGACCUCCCGAGCUCUGUCUCCUGUCAGAUCAGCAGCGGCAUUAGAGUCUCAUAGACUUGCAGGAUUCCAGCUCCUCAAGCCCUUCACACUCCACAAUAUUCCCCCACUCAGUCAACAUUCUCAGUGAAGAUCUUCAACCAUGUGGUAGCACUGGAGUCUCUCGGAGCCUACUCUGGUUUAGGGGCUUCCCGAUUCACAAAUCAUUCUUUGCUCAACUGAACUCUGUUAAAUUUAAUUUGGCUUAAGAUUUUUCUUUUAACAUCAGACACAUACAAAAGAAUAUCUGAAAUAGAAUGGAAGUGCCCCAAAAGCCCAGAGGUGACUCAGCUACCCCAGGAGGGGAAAAAGAGGGAGGAAAGAUGAGAAGGAGUACCAAGGAACACUCAGUUUGUAACUGCUGGUAGCAUCCUAAUUUUGUCAUAUCCCUUAAACCAAUAACAUUAACGCAGCAAAUAGUUUAUUGGGGAAAAUCCAGUGUGCAUAGAAAGGUUUCUAUUUGAUUUCUGAAAUAAACAAUGAUUAAGGUGAAAUCUAGGGAUGAGGAGGAGUUAACAACAGAACAGGAGUGGGAUCGGGAAGAGCAUUCAAGGUGAAAGGACUGGCCUGGGCAAAGGCCCACAGAAGCAGAUGAGAAAAUGAGAUGUCAGGGGUACCAAAAUUAGUCAAAAUGGCUGGAGCACAGAAUUUCACAAACUGUCGGAGUCAAGAGCCUGAAGAUGGAGGUACACAGGGCCUAAAGCUUCCUGAAAGACAUAUGGAGCCUGGAUUUUAUUUUGAGAAUAACGGGAAAGCACCAGAAGUGUUUGUGUGAGGAACUGACCUGCACAAUUUAUUACUCACAAUAGGGGAAGAGCAGCUUUAGGGAAAAAAAGGAUGAGUCUGGUUUUGGCCACGUUGAGUAGAAUCCACGAGACACGCAGACAUAGGAGGUGUUCAGAAGAGAGUUUGGUCAGACACAAGGAUUUGGAGUUAAAAGCAUUCCCAUUGUAAUGGAGGCUAAAAGACAAAUAAGCUUAAGAGGUGGCCAGAGUCCUCAAAGGACACUAAACCAGGGUGGCCAGAGCAGCAGGACAAACAGGAAAAGCGUGGCAUUGCAAAACACCGGAAAAAAUACGUUUCAAGAAGUGGGUGAUUGUGCUGAGAGUUACUAAGGGAUCAAGCAAGAUAAGGACUUACAACAUUCUAAGGAAAUUAGCAGCAAGAGCAUCCAUGAGCCAAGCAAGAGGAGUUUUGGCAGAAUGUGGAAAACAGAAGCCAAAUAGCAGAGCACUGUGGCAUGUGGAUGUCAUGGAAGCAGGAGGGAAGCACUAAGGCAGCAAUGCAAAAGACAAAAACGAAAACAAACAAACAAAAAGCUGUCCUGUCAAUGGGGUGAUUCUACCGUACUUUUUUUUCCCUUUCAGAUGGAAGAUGCUGGUGUUCAGGUGUUCCGUGAUUGGGUGAUGAUGGAAAUGAUCUAUUAAGGAGAGUGGAGUUGGUUAAGGGUCAAGGUGAAAGAAGGGGUAAUUGAUAUAAUGAGGUUCUUUGGGGUGUUGGAAAGGAACAGGAUGCAGAAGUUUCAUCGGAGAAAGGAUCUUUCUGUUGGGAUUUCACUCUGAAAGAAAUGAUGGGGUGGAUGGAGAACAUGUAGUUUGUAGGUUUGGAAUUUGGAAGCUGGGGAUAAAUCCAUCGGGUGGCUUUUAUUUUCAAUAAGCAGUAGAAGGCACAGCAUGUGCCAAGAGUGUAUGAGAGGAGGUGGGGAAGGUGACUGAGGGAAAAGGAAGUUUGCAGUAACUGUUUGCAAAUUGGGAGGAUUAUUUAGGACCAGAGGAGAAGGCAGAGUCAUCCAAAUCAUGAUACCUAUCAGUAUAGUUGUGUGACUUUUUCCCAGCAGAGCCAACUAUUUCCCAGUUUUUCACUUUGAAAUAUGUAUAUUUAAGCAAAUUCAAUGAACUUUAUUCCAUGUACCCAAAUGCAACUGUGACACGGUAAAAGCCCCAUAAAACUGAAAACCUCAACCAUACCUCGGCUUUCUAUUGAAACUGCUCUCUGUAACCCAAAUGUGACAGGCAGGCAGUCCAAACCCAUGGCAUCGUGGCCCCUGAGACUUGUAAUAAGUAAUUAAGGACUGUAAUUUCCGCCCUACCCAGACAAUGUGUAAACAAAUGCUAAUCUUGACUUUUGUGAGCCACUUAAGUAACCAUCAGAACGUCAAAAGUCCCCUGGCCCUCGGAGUGUCCCGAGCCCCUCACCCUCAUGUCUGCCCAGGAAGUCAUUUACAGAAUCCACUAGCCCUCAGAACGUCUAAGCCCCUCAUCCCCACCCCCGCCCCUCACCCUCACCCCCGAGGUGGUUUUAGGGGUAUCAAAGGUCUUGACACCCUCUUUUCAGGGCCACGGGUUGGAGAGACGUGAGUCCUCUGUGGCCGCCGGCAAUAAAGACCCUGCAAUUUGGCAUACUUUUGUCUCGGUGUUGACUUUCUAUGCUCGGGCCAGUACAACACAACUUUUGAAGGAUUUACCAUAGGGAGAUCCAAGCCCUCCAGGAAACUUUAUUUCUCGGUGUCCUAGAUGGUGGAGAAGCAUGGUAGAAGCUCAGGUAGGAAA